rnacentral:rRNA from 1 species
UCCAUGCCGUAAACGUUGUAUACUAGAUGUGGGGGGAUUAAGCCCCCUCCGUGUCCAAGCUAACGCGAUAAGUAUACCGCCUGGGGACUACGGCCGCAAGGCUAAAACUCAAAGGAAUUGACGGGGACCCGCACAAGCGGUGGAGCAUGUGGCUUAAUUCGAGGCAACGCGAAGAACCUUACCUGGGUUUGACAUGUUUAGGACCGCUCUAGAGAUAGAGCUUUCUUUCGAGACCUUUUCACAGGUGCUGCAUGGCUGUCGUCAGCUCGUGUCGUGAGAUGUUCGGUUAAGUCCGGCAACG